GCUCUCAAAGAGCAUGUUAACAACUUUUCAAAAGAUUCGGUUUUCUAAUGUUUAACAGAGUGAAAGGGCACACCUUUCAGUUCAGUUCCACAAAUACUUCUCAAGCAACUUCUGAGUAGUGUGGGAAUCUAGAGAUGGGUAAGACUAUGCACUUGUUUUUAAGGAGGUUGAUCUAAUAGAAAAUGAAAGCAGCAUAAAGACCAGAAUAUAUUACAGAACAAACAAGUGAUACCAAGAUAUUGAUUCCAACGAGAAUAUGAGGAUAGAAUAGUGCGUGAACAUUUUGAGCAAGGUACGGAGGACUUUAACAGAAGAGGAUGAAGAGAACAAGAAUAUUUAGGUGGGGACAUGAUUCAAAGAUACUCAGGUGGUAAAAUGAAGAAUUGUUUAUGCUCCAGGAUGUGGUUCACUGAGGCUACUUGGUUGGAGGGGAUGAGGCAGCACGUAAUAGGAAGGGAUCAUGAAAGCAUUUAAAAUAUGCUUUGAUUGGAAUCCAAACUUCACGCCGGAUUCUGUUAAAGAGUGCUCAGCCCAUCCGUGUGAUUAUUGAUAUAUGCUUCACUCGCUGGAUUGGAAAUUCCACAAGGCUCGGGAGUGUUCAGAAGACCACAAAGCAUUUCCAGGGGCCAGGGAGUGAACUUGGAUGGUGUCCUACAGAUUUCAUCGAAUUAACCUUUUAAGGUUAAUUUAUGUGCCAAGACUCAAAAGAGUAGCUUCCCUGCACAGAAACGUCAAAGAAAAGUUCCUGACAUUCUCAAAAAGAGAUGGAUAAGGAAAAGAAUGAGCAGGAGGGAGAGAAUCUUCAUAUUCAGUGAGGUCAAGAUAUGAAUGACCUUUAGAGUUCUUAUUUUCCACAAGAGUAAAGCCCCAAUCCAUCCAAAAUGAUGAAAAGUGAGUUCUGCUUUCAACUGGCACCGUCUCCUUAGCUAAUUUGCUGAAAGGUAGUGUGGGUGGGAAAAGGCAGCUGAGAGAGAGGGUUACGUUUCGUCCUUUCAUAAUUCCCUUCAGCUCACCAGGUAAAUGUAUACUUCAAGAAAAAUCUAUGUGAUGUUUUCACAUAAAAAGAAAACACAGUUGGAAAGUAAUUCAGAUUGUGUAUGGAUUUAGAGAUGUGGACCAGUAUUUCAGAGUUCCCCAAAUUUAUGUAAAAUAAGGCUAUAAAACUUGUUUAUCUAUCUCUCCUUCAACUGAUACCCUGUGCUAUCCGACUUCCAAAUUUGAGGCCCUUUUGUCUCUCGGUAGUUUAUUCUGCCAUCUAGUAUAAUUUACUAUUAACAUCUAGAAGUGUGCUUCUCCUUGACUAUAUUGUGUUAUGAAUCAAAAUGAAAUCCCUCCUUGUGGUCGCUAAACCAGGAAGGAGGAAAUCACCACCCAUGGAAUCUAGCAGAGUUUUGAAACAAAGGAAAAGUUGUGGACUUCAAGCCAGUUGGAUGAACUUUUCAUGCACUUCCCUUUCCCUAACAGCGGGGCAGGGAUGCGGGGGGUGGGGAGGGGUGGGAAAUACCACUAGCAUCACCUCCUACAAAGUUGAGGAUUACAGCAAAAUAGGCAGCCGAGAGGAGCAAUAGAUAAGAAAUAACACACCCAGCCAGAAAAGCAGGACUUUGAAAAAACACAUGAAAGAGACCCAAAGAGAAACGAAGCAGGUAUUGGAGAAGCAAGGUUGUGGAGGAGAAUUAAAACGGCACAUUUCUCUUCUGAGCUUGAUUUAGACUUUGGCAGUGCAUGCAGAGAGCCCUCACUCAAGAAUUAUUGUGCUAACAGGACUUUGUUACUUGGCACAUUGUAGGCUUUAUGUUUUGCUAAUAGUCACAACCACCCUAUAUUUUUAUCUUUUAUUCUCAUUUAACUGAUGAGGAAACCGGCUCAGAGAGAGUUAAGCACCUUGCAGAGGGUCACCGCAAGUAGGAGAACAGAAUUAGGAUUUGAACCUAAACAAGAUGUCCAGAGACUCUGUGCCACGCCAAGGAAGUUUCUCUCAUGUGCCCAUAGGUCUCAGACUUGGUUUUCAGCACAUUUUCCUUCUUUCUCCUACACUCUCCUGCCUGAGAGGAUUUGGAAGACUGGAGAAGAGGAACUGGAGUCCAUGAGGGGAAAGGGCACCAUAACCCAACAGAAGAACAAGGCUCACCUCCUGUCCAGGCCUCCGGUUUUCAUUUGUACAACGAAGGAAUUUGCUUGUACGGUUCCUACUGCCUGCUGAUUUAGUCUAAGAAGCACGGCAUAUGUAUAACAGAUGGAGAACUUUCCCUGGGAAAUUUGACCACUUGAGUCAGAGGAGAAAAUGCGCCCAAACCCGAGAUUCCACAAAACUUGGAGAAUAUCUGCACUUGCCCUUGAAUGUAGUUAACUCAAAAGUGUCCCUUGCAAGGUUCUCAUCAACUGAGCAAAGUGCCUUCAUUUUGCUGGGUUUAGUGAAGAAUGAGUCUAGAAAGAGGCUAUGGGGAUAGUGUGUUUUACAACCAGACCCCUAUCCCCCCAUCUUCCAAGGAUGAGCGGAAAUUGUUCCUUUCUGUCCUCUCUCCUGAUGCCGUUUUCUCUCACCUGGUUUCCUCAUGACUCUUAGCUAAGUCCCAGCUAGUGACUCUUUAUUGUGACACAGGUAACACAGUUGGAGUUGGUGAAAAUUUUUGAAAGAACUAAAGCCCAUCUGAUUUGUUGAAAAACAAAAAUAUCCAACAAUGAGGUGAAGAGACCUCAUUUCCCCAUUAUUCAUCCAUUUAAUAUUUCCCGAGUACCUUCUGUAUUUCAAACAUUUUUCUAGUUGUUUGGGAAAUGUUAGUGAAUAAUGUGGAUCGAAAUGGCUACCCUUGCUUUAGGUGUGUAAAUGUUAUGGGGAGAGUGGAUGAGGGUGUGAGGGGCGAGCAGAUUACAGCACUGGGAAGUAUAGGGAAGCCUCCUUGGGAAGUUGAGAUUGGGCUAGGAAUUGAAGGAUCUAGGAAUUGGCUAAGUGGCUAUGUGGGAGAAUAAUCUAGGCAAAGGGACAGCUAGAAGUGACGGUUUGAGUUGGGAACUUGGUCAUACACUUGAGGAACAGUAAGGAAGCCAGCAUGGCUGGUGCAAGGAGAGAAAAUAAUGGGCUGGAAAGGAAGACAAAGAGAAAGGGGCCAGAUUGGACUUUUGUAGGUUCUUAUAAGGAUUUCAGCUUUUAUUCUGCAUGGAGAGCCGUUGGAGGGUCUGAGCAAAUCAGUAACACCACCUGACACUCCAGCUGCUGGGUACAGGUAGGGCGGCAUUGGGGGAAGAGUUUGUAGGGAGAGCAAAGGAAAUCAAGACAACCAGUUAGAGUUUAUUGCGGAAAGUCGGGGGAGAGUGAUAAUGGCUUACACCAGGCCAGAGUGGUAGUAACAGCAAGUGGUGGUAACCAGGAGUCAGAUUCCGGAUAAUUCAAACAGCACAAAAUCCUGGGAGAUUGGGGAUGAGAUGUGAGGAAGAGAAAAACCAUUGAUCAAGAAGACAUUAAAUGUAAGCUACUAGAAGGAUGGAGUCUCCAUCAACUUAGACACUUGAGAAAGUAUGUAAACUAAUGUGGAAGGAUUAUUUGGGUUUGGGGAAAUGUUUGCUUAAUGGAAGUCUUCCAAAUGCAUCCUGAGUGGAGCUCCUCAAUUACACCCAUAGUUGCAUUAAGUGGUGGCCAUGGCUGGUAGAGCAAAGGAGACUGAGGCAGAAAGGAGGUGAAUGAGUGAGGGAUAGAGUAACAUUUAUUGUGUUCCAGUCACUGUAUGAGGCCUUUUUUUUUUUUUUUUUUUGGUCUUUUUAAGGCCACACCUGUGGCAUAUGGAAGUUCCCAGGCUAGGGGCCAAAUCGGAGCUACAGCUGCCAGCCUACACCACAGCUCAUGGCAACACUGGAUCCCUAACCCACUGAACAGGGCCAGGGAUCAAACCCACAUCUUCAUGGGUACUAGUCAGAUUCGUUACCACUGAGCCGUGAUGGGAACUCCUGGCCUCUUUUUUUACAAGAAAAAUUAUUUAGGUUUAAAGUGUACAAUGUGAGUAUGAAAUAAUGCCAUUUGCAGCAACAUGGAUGAACAUAGAAGUCAUCCCACUAAGUGAAAUAAGACAGAGUAAGACAAAUACCAUAUGAGACACUAAUAUGUCCAGUCUAAUAAUGAUGACACAGUAGAACUUGCAAAACAAAAACAGACUCAAAGGUUUUGAAACCAAACUCAUGUUUACCAAAGAGGAAAUGAGGGGAGGGGAAGGGUAAUUUAGGGGCUUGGGAUUGAUGUAUAUACAUUGCUAUAUAUGAAAUAAAUGGGUAACUAGGACCUACUCUAUAGCACAGGGAAACUUACUCAAUGCUGUAUAAUAACUUAUAUGGGAAAAGAAUCUGAAAAGGAAUGGAAGGAAUGGAUAUAUGCAGACAUAUAAUUGAUGUACUUUGCUGUAGGCCUUAAAUUAACACAACUUUGUAAGUGAACUAUAUGCCAAUAAAAUAAAAUAAAAAUU
rnacentral:lncRNA from 1 species